UCGACGUCUGAGUCUCCGUCUGUAAUACAUGAGGCCUUUUUUGGCCUGUUCCAACCUGGCGGAAGUGUCUUUUUUGAUUAAUUUCCAACUCACUGGACAAUAAAUUCUGGGGACUUUAUCGUCUUCUUUUACGCUUUUAUCAAUAACUCCUCACACGAUCUUUAAUUCAAUGCAUCCCCAUUAUUGCCAUCAUGUGAAUCCUCCACUAUAAAUAGGCAUGUCAGAUGAUGAAAAGGCAAGUUUUCAACAUGAUCAUUGUUGCAAAUACCAGAUGCAUUGAGGAUAAAGCUCUUGAAACUUUUCUACUAAGAUACAUGUUGCCUUCAAAGGUGAUGAUGCAGAAAGAAGAGCAUGAUAUUUUUUUCUAUGCUCUCGAAAGCGACCACGUCCAUUUUGUAAUAAAAAGUAUUUUUCUUAUUUUGUACUUUCGAAUCCAGUGAGAAAUUCUUUUAUGGGAUUCAGUGAGUUUAGAGACUUUGAUGACUCUGUGUCAAACUUCUGGAGUUUGGAAGGUCUCAACUUCUGGAGAAUCAUUGUAUCAUCACUCAAAAUCAUUAAUUUACAGAUGGGGACAACGUGUAAUUCUCUUCUUUUUUUUUUCUUGCUACAACUAACAAUUCUCGAUCUCU